rnacentral:pre_miRNA from 1 species
AAAAAGACAAACCCUGGUUUCCGUGUCCAACGUUUAACCGUUUGUCUUAUUUAAAAAAAUUAUAAAAAAAAUUAAAAGAUAAGUCACGCAUAAAGUAUUAAUCAUGUUUUAUCAUCUAACAACAAUGAAAAUACUAAUUAUAAAAAAAUUUCAUAUAAAACGGACAGUCAAACGUUGNCAUAAAGUAUU